CGCAAAUGGUUCAGUCCGCACAGGUGUAACCACCAUUAAAGAAAACCGGUGCAAAUAUAAAAUAAAGAGGAAGCAGACGAUUAAGAUUCAUUUAAGAGUUUUUUUAGUUCAGUUUCUAGUUCUUUGUGUCGGCUGAACCAGCUUAACAUGCUUUGAACUUGACACCUGCAGCUGACAUUGGACCGUCGGAAACAUCCACAGACAUGCAGAGACUCCUGUGAGGCAUACGUGUGCGUACUCCACCCUCCCAUACUCAGGACUGAAGUCAAGAUGCCAGAUCCAGUGUGAGCAUCAGGCUGCCUGAAAACGACUUGUUCUAAAGUAACAACCCAAACGGAUUUGGCUGAAAUAUGGUAGCUGAAUACCAACUGGCCCACAGGCCACUUAGUUUUUGGAGGCUGCUCCUGGACUGGGAUUUCUGCCACUGGUGAAGAUCAGUAUUCAUCAAUGUCAGUUACAGGUUUACAUGCCACACUGAACGGCUGCUACACUGCAUCGCAUUCAUCGGUGGUUUAAUCAAACCUAGAAGAAACAUAACAGACAGAAACUAUGACGAAGUAACUUGCUCCAGUCUGCUGUAUCUGAUACAGACACGAGCAGCACAUCUCUCAUCACACAUCACAUUUUCCCGAGGUGGUCCCCCUGCAGAGGCUUACAGCUGAUGUUAUGAUGUCAUGCUGCGCCUGGUAUUCCAAUUAGAGGAGACGGUUCGUUUGCUUCAGGUCUGUUAAAGGAAUGUUUUCAAGUCCUUCUGACAGAUCACUUGUGGAGUAAGUUUUUUGUCCUCAGCUGAUUCUAACCUGGAUAUGUUACCAAUCAGUCUGGAUGCUUUUUAACUCGUUGACAUUCUUCAAGCAACCACCUGCCCUCUGACAGCUCACAGGCAGACACUACUGGUGAUUUUUACCAUAAACACCAUCAAUGCUGCUAAAAAAGAGUAAGGGUAAUUAGAACCAGCUUCAUAUUCUUGACUUUUUUCAAUAUGAGAACUUCUAAUUGUCACGGCGAGUGGGAUGAGCCGUGUGGAAAAUAAUACAGGAGGAUC
rnacentral:lncRNA from 1 species